UACGUAGGGGGCGAGCGUUGUCCGGAUUCAUUGGGCGGAAAGAGCUCGUAGGCGGUUUGGUAAGUCGGGUGUGAAAACCCCAGGCUCAACCUGGGGACGCCACCUGAUACUGCUAUGACUUGAGUCUGGUAGGGGAUCACGGAAUUCCUGGUGUAGCGGUGAAAUGCGCAGAUAUCAGGAGGAACACCGGUGGCGAAGGCGGUGAUCUGGGCCAGUACUGACGCUGAGGAGCGAAAGCGUGGGUAGCAAACAGG
rnacentral:rRNA from 1 species